UGAGUCUGUUCCUGCACCAUCCAACGUUUCAAUUUUAAAUUCUAUUCGGAUCGAAAGUAUUCUCCAAUAUGGUAAUUGGUUGGCAAGUCAUGGCAACGAAAAAAGUUUCCGACUGGAAAACGGAAUUUACACGUGUCCAUCCGAAGCAACUAAAGAUGAAUCCCAGGAACUGGGAAUGAAAGCAGACCUCAUAUGAUUGGCACACUUGUGAUUGAAGUCAGAAGUAGCUACAAUAGCUUGAACGGAGACUCUCACCUCAAUUUAAAAGAAAAAAAGACAAACGGACGUCUCUGCUCUUUCAGACUUCACUCACCUCAUAAAGAAAGUGAUCAAAAGCCAAAAGCUGAUUGUAGUAGUACCUGAUAUUGUCAUCUCGGAAAUUGAUCCACUUAAAAGAGAAAGCGCUUCUGUUCGGGAAUGCAUUCGAUGGCUAGAAACCUGUUUCCGUACUGGCAAUCGCUUUAUUAGAGCACAGCGUCAAAACGAACACCAAGUCAUCCCAUUAUAUUGACUUAUCCUAAACGAAAAGAUAAAGCCAACUCUUGAGCACCUGAGCCAUCUCUCUUAAAAGUGCUGCUGACCUGCUGUUACCUGGAUACAAACCAGCAGAGAAACGUUUACAAAACUAGCCAGAAUUCGCCCUUUGUACUGUUUUUGUCUGGCAACUCAGCUGAAGACACGGAUGAACAAACUAGAGUGAUUUGUAAUUCGAUUGGUGUUGAACUUAAAACUGCAAAUUCGUUGGUGAAGAAAAGUAAGACGAAAAAGCGCUAAUACCGUCAUGUAUAACAUUGAAUUACGCAGCCGUAUGUGUUUUGAUUAUUUGCUUAUUGUAUUGUAAGAAAAAUAUUUUGUUUCUCACUCUUUCCGAGUUUUAAGCAUGGAUAAUACAGAAACAUCAAGAAGUAAACCGUAACUAAAAUAAUGAAGAAACCGCGAGGAAGUAACUUGUGUUAAAA